rnacentral:rRNA from 1 species
UACAGAGGGUGCGAGCGUUAAUCGGAAUUACUGGGCGUAAAGCGUGCGUAGACGGUUAUUUAAGUCGGGUGUGAAAGCCCCGGGCUCAACCUGGGAAUUGCAUUCGAGACUGAAUAGCUAGGGUACGGUAGAGGGAAGUGGAAUUUCCGGUGUAGCGGUGAAAUGCGUAGAUAUCGGAAGGAACAUCAGUGGCGAAAGCGACUUCCUGGACCAGUACCGACGUUCAGGCACGAAAGCAUGGGGAGCAAAAGGG